UAAGGUUCAUUACUCCACAGGCUACUGGCGCUGGACAGGCCAAGCUUCUCAAGUAAAGAGGCCUCCAAACAUUUUUGAAACGUCCCCUCCUCUAGGGUCAUGGAAGGCCUACCCAAAUUAUGCCUGCCAGCCCCCGCAGAACUCUACUCUAAGAUUCUCUCAAGUUUAAAUUUCAUUUGUUAAUACUUGUUACAGUCUUACAUUUUUUAAAAAAAUGGGUUAAUCGUGUCAAAAGGUAGGAUCAACUCUUGAACUUUAACACUGACAACUUCACCACUAGGUUAGUUUGAGCAAAAGACAGGUCCGAAUUUGCCCACCACCACCUGAGCUGGGGACCACACCGUGCCCCAAGUCUCAGACACAGCGAUUCCCCUGAUACCAGUCUGAUGAGGUCCAAGCCGGUGAGCUGCAGAGAGAGCCCUGUGUUGGCCUUGCAAUACUGGAGUUUGAAUUUCCCCUCUGCCCUUUCCUCACCCUGGGACCUGGGGCCCCCACCCCUGGCCUUGGCGACUUCAUCAUGACAUGAGAGGACUGGACUUAGCAGAAUAUUCCUGGGUUUCUUUACUGCUGACAUUCAGGGAUGGGGCUUCUCCACCCUACCUGUACUUGGGGUGUGUUUUUAAAGUACAGAUUUCUGGGCUCCGCUUAUGUACCAGAUUCCAAUUCACUGGGACCCGAGCAUCUGAAUUCAUCAAAUAUUGAUUAAGAAUUUACUGUGUACCAGGCACUGGGGAUAUGAAGAGAACAAAGCAGGACAUAAUCACUGCUCUCCUGGGGGGGUAUCUAUGGGAGGAUACACACAAAGGCAGAGCAGUAAAUUAUAUGGUUUGUCAGAUAAUUGUCAUGGAGCAAAAGAGGGCAGGACAGGGAAGGCAGGAGAGGGAUCGAUUCUGGUUUUAAAUUGGACGUCAUGUCGGUCAGAAAGGUUUUUCCCCCUGGCCAUGCACUGUAUGGCAUGUGGGAUCUUGGUUCCCCAAGUGACCAGGGAUCAAACCCACACUCCUUGCAUUGGGGGUGCAGAGUGUUAACCACUGGACCGUCAGGGAAGUCCCUGAGAAAUAGUUUUGAUAAAAUACCUGAAGAAGUUAGAAGACAAAGGGAAUAGCAAGUGCAAAGGCCCUGAGGUAGAAGCCUGAAGACUAGAAGGAAGCAAGGAGGCUAGUGCGGUUCAAAGCGAGGAAAGGAGGUGGAAGGCAACAAAGUCAGAGGGAUAAGGGUGUGGACGUCUGACACUGUAUUGGCUUGAACAACACCAUAAGGGCUUAGUUUUUGAUCUGAGAUGGGAAACCACAGAACUAGGAAGAAUCCCUUGGGAUACUGUGUAAAGAAUACACUGUGA
ensembl:lncRNA